rnacentral:rRNA from 1 species
GACGAACCGUGCGAACGUUGUUCGGAAUCACUGGGCUUAAAGGGCGCGUAGGCGGGUUCGAAAGUCUGUGGUGAAAGCCUCCAGCUUAACUGGAGAAGUGCCAUGGAUACUGCGAACCUGGAGGAGGGUAGGGGCAUCUGGAACGCUGGGUGGAGCGGUGAAAUGCGUUGAUAUCCAGCGGAACUCCGGUGGCGAAGGCGAGGUGCUGGACCCUUUCUGACGCUGAGGCACGAAAGCCAGGGAGCAAACGGG